rnacentral:rRNA from 1 species
AUUGAACGCUGGCGGCAGGCCUAACACAUGCAAGUCGAACGGUAACAGGAAGAAGCUUGCUUCUUUGCUGACGAGUGGCGGACGGGUGAGUAAUGUCUGGGAAACUUCCUGAUGGAGGGGGAUAACUACUGGAAACGGUAGCUAAUACCGCAUAACGUCGCAAGACCAAAAAGGGGGACCUUCGGGCCUCUUGCCAUCGGAUGUGCCCAGAUGGGAUUAGCUAGUAGGUGGGGUAACGGCUCACCUAGGCGACGAUCCCUAGCUGGUCUGAGAGGAUGACCGGCCACACUGGAACUGAGACACGGUCCAGACUCCUACGGGAGGCAGCAGUGGGGAAUAUUGCACAAUGGGCGCAAGCCUGAUGCAGCCAUGCCGCGUGUAUGAAGAAGGCCUUCGGGUUGUAAAGUACUUUCAGCGGGGAGGAAGGGAGUAAAGUUAAUACCUUGGCUCAUUGACGUUACCCGCAGAAGAAGCACCGGCUAACUCCGUG